GAGUUUGAUCAUGGCUCAGAUUGAACGCUGGCGGUAUGCUUAACACAUGCAAGUCGGACGGCAGCGGGCCCUUCGGGGCGCCGGCGAGUGGCGGACGGGUGAGUAACGCGUAGGAAUCUGCCCUGUAGUGGGGGACAACUUAUGGAAACUUAAGCUAAUACCGCAUACGCUCCUUCUCGGAAGAGGGGGAGGAAAGCGGGGGACCUUCGGGCCUCGCGCUAUGGGAUGAGCCUGCGUUGGAUUAGCUAGUUGGCAGGGUAAAGGCCUACCAAGGCGACGAUCCAUAGCUGGUCUGAGAGGACGAUCAGCCACACUGGGACUGAGACACGGCCCAGACUCCUACGGGAGGCAGCAGUGGGGAAUAUUGGACAAUGGGCGCAAGCCUGAUCCAGCAAUACCGCGUGUGUGAAGAAGGCCUGAGGGUUGUAAAGCACUUUCACUGGGGAGGAAAAAGUGGCGGCCAAUACCCGUUACCUUGACAUUACCUAGAGAAGAAGCACCGGCUAACUCCGUGCCAGCAGCCGCGGUAAUACGGAGGGUGCGAGCGUUAAUCGGAAUUACUGGGCGUAAAGCGUGCGUAGGCGGCCUGUUAAGUCAGAUGUGAAAGCCCUGGGCUCAACCUGGGAACGGCAUUUGAAACUGGCAAGCUAGGGUUAGGUAGAGGGGAGUGGAAUUUCAGGUGUAGCGGUGAAAUGCGUAGAUAUCUGAAGGAACACCAGUGGCGAAGGCGGCUCCCUGGACCCAAACUGACGCUGAGGUACGAAAGCGUGGGUAGCAAACAGGAUUAGAUACCCUGGUAGUCCACGCCGUAAACGAUGUCGACUAGCCGUUGGGCCCUUAUAGGGUUUAGUGGCGCAGCUAACGCAUUAAGUCGACCGCCUGGGGAGUACGGCCGCAAGGUUAAAACUCAAAUGAAUUGACGGGGGCCCGCACAAGCGGUGGAGCAUGUGGUUUAAUUCGAUGCAACGCGAAGAACCUUACCUACCCUUGACAUCUACAGGACUUAGCAGAGAUGCUUUGGUGCCUUCGGGAACAGUAAGACAGGUGCUGCAUGGCUGUCGUCAGCUCGUGUCGUGAGAUGUUGGGUUAAGUCCCGUAACGAGCGCAACCCUUAUCCCUAGUUGCCAGCGCGUAAAGGCGGGAACUCUAAGGAGACUGCCGGUGAUAAACCGGAGGAAGGUGGAGACGACGUCAAGUCAUCAUGGCCCUUAUGGGUAGGGCUACACACGUGCUACAAUGGCCGGUACAGAGGGCUGCGAACUGGCAACAGUAAGCCAAUCCCACAAAGCCGGUCCCAGUCCGGAUUGGAGUCUGCAACUCGACUCCAUGAAGUCGGAAUCGCUAGUAAUCGCGGAUCAGAAUGCCGCGGUGAAUACGUUCCCGGGCCUUGUACACACCGCCCGUCACACCAUGGGAGUGGGUUGCAAAAGAAGUAGGUAGUCUAACCUUCGGGAGGGCGCUUACCACUCUGUGAUUCAUGACUGGGGUGAAGUCGUAACAAGGUA
rnacentral:rRNA from 1 species